UUGUAUUAUCUGCGACAUCAGACCAGCCGACGACGACGAGAGACAACGACGCGUCGUUGAAGAAGGGUAGCAGAGUCGAAAUGAGUAACAAGUUCGUGCUACGCUGUUGGAAGUGCACGUAAAUUUACGUUAUAAAGGCAAAAAUAACGACGCGAAGCAAUCUGAUAGAUCGUUGCGGAUAAAAUAGCAGAAUUAUUAAUGAAACCUUCAACGGUCGCAGUUUGCAAAAGAUAAUAUUUAUUCGUUAAUAAAACAUGCACAAACGAAUACGAAAUAAACGUUGACCGACGAAAA